rnacentral:rRNA from 1 species
GACGAACGCUGGCGGCGUGCUUAACACAUGCAAGUCGAGCGAUGAAAUCCCUUCGGGGAUGGAUUAGCGGCGGACGGGUGAGUAACACGUGGGUAACCUGCCUCAAAGAGGGGGAUAGCCUCCCGAAAGGGAGAUUAGUACCGCAUAACAUUAGUUUUUCGCAUGGAGGACUAAUUAAAGGAGUAAUCCGCUUUGAGAUGGACCCGCGGCGCAUUAGCUAGUUGGUGAGGUAACGGCUCACCAAGGCGACGAUGCGUAGCCGACCUGAGAGGGUGAUCGGCCACAUUGGAACUGAGACACGGUCCAGACUCCUACGGGAGGCAGCAGUGGGGAAUAUUGCACAAUGGGCGAAAGCCUGAUGCAGCAACGCCGCGUGAGUGAUGAAGGCCUUCGGGUUGUAAAGCUCUGUCUUUUGGGACGAUAAUGACGGUACCAAAGGAGGGAGCCACGGCUAACUACGUGCCAGCCGCCGCGGUAACAC